UCGAGAAUGCCAUACGAUAGCUUCUCUUUCUAGUUUUUUGUUUUUUUUUUCUUUUUUCUGUAGUUUUUCUCUUCCAAACAUAAAGAUGACUUUUAUUUUUAUCAACGACCACAAUACUAGAACGAAAUAGUUCCUCCAAGUUAUCCAAAAGCUAGAAGACAAAGGUGAUGACCAUGCACGGUUCCAACAUUAUAACUUUUGUUUGACCACAGGAACUGGAAGAAGGGACACAAGAAAGCGAAAUCACAGACAGCCACGUGUGCGGGCAAAGAUCUUGAAAUUUGAUCCAACGUAUACAAUAUUAUCAUAUGAUGGUUUCAACGUGAAAAAUAAAAAAAUACAGUGUGGUUCCAACAAAGGAUGACUCAUAACAAUACUAGGCAACAAGAAAAAGCACAUUAAACAACCCAAUCAACUUCAUCAUAAGAACACU
rnacentral:lncRNA from 1 species